GACCCAACAAUCAAUGUCGCAAACGCUAAAGAUAAAACCCAAACUCCCAUCCUAACUUGACCAAUUGAUGUCUGAUAAUGGUUCUUGAGAUUGAGCCGUUCUCCAUGACUUUCCCUUCCCAACCACCGUCCUCCAUUCCACCUUAUCAAUACGUAUAGCCUACAGGCCAAAUGAAAGGCCAAAAUUUCUGAAAUUACCAUCUAGUAAUAUCACUGCAUUCAUAACAUUCCAAACU
rnacentral:lncRNA from 1 species